rnacentral:misc_RNA from 1 species
GUUUUGUUUGUUAGAGAAUUGCGUAGAGGGGUUAUAUCUACGUGAGGAUCUAUCACUCGACGGUGUGGGAUACCUCCCUGCUACGGCGGGUUGAGUGACGCACCUCGGACUGGGGACCGCUGACUUGCGAGUUAUGUCCGCUGUUCUUCAGCACUACGCACUCAUUUGAGCCCCCGCUCAGUUCGCUAGCAAAACCCGGCCCGUGGUUUGCCGUUACCGCGGAACUUCGAAAGAAACACUCUGUUAGGUGGUAUCAGUGAUGACGCACGCAGGGAGAGGCUAAAACCUAUAUGGUCAUGCUGAUCUCCGUGGAUGUUUAUCAUUCCCUACCAGGACCC